GGGAUCGCAUCAUUUUGGAUGAUGCAAGUCAUACGUUCACAGAUUCAUGCAUUAUGUUGUUUUCUUCAAUUGGCGUUCAAUUGUUUUCCCUGUAUAUGUCCAUUGGCUGUUUAAACGAUCUCUUUAUCUAACUUGCUCAUUAUGUAAAAGAUGCACACUGCAACAAGGCAAGAGCUGUUUUUGCUUUAGAAUCUUCUUACAAGUGGGCCUUAACUGGUAUACCCUGCAGAACCGUAUGGAAGAAUUGUACUCGUUCGUCCGUUUCUUACAAGUUACUACUUACGCUUAUUACUUUUGCAAAGAUUGUGAUUGCAGAGCAUUUGAUUAUAGCUUCUCAACUGAGUGCCCACAGUGCCGCUACAAACGUGCACGCCACUUUCUCUGGUGGAAUAGAUAUAUUGCAAAACCUUUAGAAUCAAUUCAAUCCAAUGCGACUGGUAGAGAUGCGAUGGUUUUUUUGAAGCACAAAAUUUUGAAAAACCUAUUGCUAAAACGUACCAAAAAGGAGAGAGCUACAGAUCUUGGACUUCCCCGGAAGACUGUUAUUGUGAGAAAAGAUUCUUUGGACGUGAAUGAAAAUGAAUACUACCUACAAAUGUUAGAAGAAACCAUGGCAAAGUUGGAUAAAUAUGCUCAGGCUGGACCUCUAAGGAAGAACUAUCCCUCUUUAAAUACACGCAUACAGCAGGCAUUGGAUCAUCCUUUCCUAGUGGAAUUCUCUGAAACAUAUUAUGGGUGUUGGAAAACAGAUGCUGAGUCCUACACAGAUAAUGAUAAGCGGCAUUCUCUUACUAAACCUACUGUCAAAGGGUUUAAGUCCACAAGUAUAUUGAACAAAAUUAAGCUCGAUCCUUUCCGGACAAGCACUAAAAUAGAAGCUCUGAGAGAAGAAAUUAGGUUCAUGUUUGAAAGAGAUGGUUCUGCAAAAGGAGUAGUUUUCAGCCAGUUCAUAUUGUUUUUAGAUCUGAUACAAUAUUCUCUUUAGAAUUCGGGCGUCACAUUUUUUCAAUUAGUUGGAAACAUGUCUGUUUCUGCAAGAGACACAGCAGUUACCAGAUUUACUGAGGAUCCAGAUUGCAGGAUAUUGCUUGCGAGCUUUAAAGCUGGAGGAGUUGCCCUCAAUCUUAUAGUUGUAUCACAUGUUUUCUUGAUGGAACCCUGCUCGAAUCCUGCUGUAGAGCAGCAAGCCCAAGAUAGAGUCCAUCGAAUAGGGCAGCAUAAACCAGUCAGGAUUGUGAGAUUUAUUAUUUAGGAUACGAUUGACGAGAGGAUCUUACAGUCGCAAGAGAAGAAGAAACAUCUUCAAAGGACGAUGACUGAUUCUUUUGAGGCCUGGGAGAAACUGUCGUUUGAGGAGUGGGGGUUACUGUUGGAGCGCGACUUCGUUUAGAAAACAGAUUAACAUUUACAUUUUUUUUUAAGCUUCUAGCAAAACAUUUGUACCUAGUGUCUGCCAUUUGCCCUUAGGCUGUUGUACAACUUUUGAUCUGUCCAGAGUGAGUUUCUGUUGCUUCUGAAUCACAGUGAUUAGUUCCAUCAAUUGUAAAUUGUUCUAAUUGAUUCCACAAGUAUCUUUCCAUUUUAGUGUCACUAACAUCAUAAAAGUUGCAUCUUCAUACCCUCUCAAGGCAUGGUCAUAGAAAUGUGUAUCUUUAUUUUGCCUUUGGUUUUUGUGUUUACGUGAUACUUUCCAUCUUAGGCCCCUUCCAGUUCUUUCGCGAUUUGGUUCAGACAAGCUUAUCCUUUGUUCUAUUCGUUAACAUAAUGAAUAGUGAUUUUUUUUCA